rnacentral:rRNA from 1 species
UACGGGGGGGGGCAAGCGUUGUUCGGAAUUACUGGGCGUAAAGGGCUCGUAGGCGGCCAACUAAGUCGGAUGUGAAAUCCCCAGGCUCAACUUGGGAACUGCAUCCGAUACUGGAUGGCUUGAAUUCGGGAGAGGGAUGCAGAAUUCCAGGUGUAGCGGUGAAAUGCGUAGAGAUCAUGAGGAAGACCAGUGGCGAAGGCGGGGUCUCCUGGACAGUUCCUGAACACUGAGACACGAAGGCCAGGGGAGCAAAACGGG